AGGGAGCGCCCUGGGAAGCGCAGGUGGAGGCGCCCAGGGCCCCCCGUCCUUCCCGCUCCCAGCAGAUGGGAGCUCGCAGGGCUGGGGGCUCCUGCUGCCGCUGCGGCUGGUCAAUGCGCCCUCUCCUGGCGCAGGAUUAAUAUGAAAAAGGAGGGGAUAUUAUGCCCUCCAGCUCUUUUGACUGUCACCCAGCGUUACUCACUGGCCUGGAAUAGAGAUGUUUGGAAGAGGGACCCGAGCCUGGCCUUAUCUCUUGAGGCAGGAUUACAAGCCAUUCAUGUUCAAGGACAGAUUCAGGUAACAAACAGGGCUGGUGGAACAGAAUUGGGCAGCCUCCUAGUGUCAACAUCUGCUGCCUGAGCUGCAUGGAAACUAGUGCUAAAGUCACAUUGUGUCUACAAGAUUCUUUAAAUCUCCAUCUUUUCCUGUUUCUCUGCCAACUUAAUUCUGUGAAUGCUUGGAAAUGCUGGUGAGUGGGGGAAGCAGCAGUCUCCAGUCUAACUGGGGUUUUCUCCUGCUGCUGGCUCUGUGGAAGAGAUUUUAAGGUUAGUUUGAAAAUAGCUUUGCCUAGAAAGAGCAGGGUUCAGGAGGAUGGCAUUAACUAAUGUGCACAGGCCAGAGAUUUGCAGCCAGAUGCUCCUGCAGGCAGCUUGUAUCUGGUGGUUCAGCUGAACCAUGGCAUGUAGAAAGAUCUCCUGUUUGGAGUGAGAAUCUCAUACAAUCAGCAGUGCCAAAGAGCAAUUACCCUUUCCCUGUUAAAACUAAGUGUCCUGUUUACUGUUUGAACUGGCUGACUUGAAAUUCUAACUUUAGUCUGUGCUUUUAAAAGGUCUUGAAUACUGUGCAGGCUUUAACAAGUCUCGAUGAUGACCCUAGAAUGCUGUUUGGUAAAUAGGAUUAUUCUUGCUUCUGCAAAGAGGGCACAAGAGGUGAGGGGAUGUGGCUGUCCAUCUCCGUCCCUGUGUUGGCGUUCCUGGCUUCUGCUGCCAUGCUUGAAGAAUGUGAGAACUUUGUGCCUCUCCUCACAAUGGCGCUGCUUGUCCUUGAGUUACCAGUCUGAUUUAUUAGAGGAAACUGAAUCAGCACAUGGUGCUCACCUAUGUAGGCUACUGCUGCUUCUCCUACACAGUAGGUGUGAGCUUGGAAAAUAGUUUGGAGGAGAAGCAUAAAGUGGACUUUGUUGAAAUGCACCAACUCACCUGGAGUUUCCAGAACCUGUGAGUGUAUUUGGCAAGCAAAAUAUCCCAACUUUUAACUUGUAGUAUUUGGAAGCACAGCAUGGUUAUGUGAGCAUGCCCUCAUGAGGCUGGGAGAUGGAAAUGGCAUUUGGGGUAGUGUGUGGAGCGAGGGGAGUCUUUGGAACCAGCAAUAGAUGAAAUUAUAUCAAAGCAUAAGUGGUGGUCAUACUGCUUGCGCAAAGGUUUUUAGGUUUUGUAUUGGCUCUCCCUAAUUAUUUCCAAGGUUAUAAAUCCAAUCAGGAUACUGAAAGGGGCUCACCCAAGAGCAAGAACUGUGAUUUAGUGUUCUUCCUAGUACCUUCAAUUAUUAAUCAAACAUGUUUAAAAUAUUGGCUGAUGCCACUUUUUAUUUCUAAUCUUCUGUUCCCAGUGAUCAGAAGGUAUCUUGGUAUGCAGGGUUUCAGCAUUUCUGAGAGUUCUUAUGCUAAAUCAGCUCUUUACUCAUUUAUUUCUUCCCUUACUCUUUAAAUGUUAGCAGUUGUGACAAAGCCUGCUGUUGACUGUUGGAUUGGAUUCUAAAUACUGACUCACAUCCAAAUUUUGCAAUUGGUUCCAUUUGUUACAAUGGGUGGAACUAAUUCUCUGGAUCCAAGUGCAAUUAGAUGAAUCUAGAUCAUAAUUCUGGCCAUUGCAACCAAAAAUUAUGAAGUUUAUUUUGCUUUAUCUUGUUCUAUUGAAUAACAGUAGUCCAGUACUAGCCUUUUCUGUUCAAAAUCUAUUAUGAGCCACCUCAAAGGUGAUUGAAGCCUGUAAAGAAAGAGCACGACCACCUAUGAGGCAACAGCAUGUCUUCACAAGUUUGCGGAACCAAAGUGGUGGAGGAAGGUGGAAAUAAAUGCCUUGGAGAAGUUGCAAACAAUCCUCUUUUAUUUUUUUGCCUAAUAUCCUGUCUUUUGUAUUUUAACCCACAUCAGAUUGUUUUGAUUAGCAGCUUUGACUCUUGCCGUUGUGAAGUGCACAGCAAUGGUCUAGAGGAAAAAUGCACAAAACAGUUUCACCAUUGCUUUGUCCUGCUAGUGUGAUGCAGGACCUGUGUAUAGUACCUCAUCAGCAUUGGAAAGACACUGGGACUAGUAAUUCUAUGCUGGUGUGGAGAGAACAAAUGGCUUCUCAUUCUCUGUAAUGACUACUGAGAGAUGCUCCUCUGUCAACAACUCCAGUACAAAGCAGAGAACAAUGCUGCUGCCUCUGUAGUAUGGAAGAGAACUCUGUUUCAGUAGCAUCACUCUGUUCCAGU